rnacentral:rRNA from 1 species
GACGAACGCUGGCGGCGUGCUUACCACAUGCAAGUCGAACGGAAAGGCCCUGCUUUUGUGGGGCGCUCGAGUGGCGAACGGGUGAGUAACACGUGAGUAACCUGCCCUUGACUUUGGGAUAACUUCAGGAAACUGGGGCUAAUACCGGAUAGGAGCUCCUGCUGCAUGGUGGGGGUUGGAAAGUUUCGGCGGUUGGGGAUGGACUCGCGGCUUAUCAGCUUGUUGGUGGGGUAGUGGCUUACCAAGGCUUUGACGGGUAGCCGGCCUGAGAGGGUGACCGGCCACAUUGGGACUGAGAUACGGCCCAGACUCCUACGGGAGGCAGCAGUGGGGAAUAUUGCACAAUGGGCGGAAGCCUGAUGCAGCAACGCCGCGUGCGGGAUGACGGCCUUCGGGUUGUAAACCGCUUUCGCCUGUGACGAAGCGUGAGUGACGGUAAUGGGUAAAGAAGCACCGGCUAACUACGUG